rnacentral:rRNA from 1 species
CAGCAGUGAGGAAGGCAGGUACGUUAAUAGCGUGCUUGUUUGACGUUAGCUGCAGAAGAAGCACCGGCUAACUCCGUGCCAGCAGCCGCGGUAAUACGGAGGGUGCGAGCGUUAAUCGGAAUUACUGGGCGUAAAAGCGCAUGCAGGUGGUUUGUUAAGUCAGAUGUGAAAAGCCCGGGCUCAAACCUCGGAAAUUGCAUUUGAAAACUGGCAGACUAGAGUACUGUAGAGGGGGUAGAAUUUCAGGUGUAGCGGUGAAAAUGCGUAGAGAUCUGAAGGAAUACCGGUGGCGAAGGCGGCCCCUGGACAGAUACUGACACUCAGAUGCGAAAGCGUGGGGAGCAAACAGGAUUAGAUACCCUGGUAG